AGAUUGUUCCCGCAUUUAGAGUGGUUUGAACCGUUCCUAUGACAGCAUUUUGAUACAAAACCCUCAGAGCCCGGCGCACCCACAAACACUCAGAGCCCGGCGCACCCACAACCUCAAAUCGGAGGCGGUCCCUCUCAUCCAAUCCACUUGUCGGCGCCGCUCUCUAGCUUAUUCUCUUCCAAUCCAUAUUCAAAUCAGCGGCGCACUCAUAUCCAAUCCAACUCGACGGUGCUUCAUCUCUUCCUGUACGACUCGGCGGCCCUUCUUCUCUUCCAUUCUAAAUCGGCGGCGCCACCCACAAUCUUCAGGUAUGAUUGCGGCAUGUAUGUUAUUAAGCACAUGCAUACAAAAAUUAUCAAAUAGAAUCUAACCUUUAUGGAGAGUUGGUCAGAACGUAUUCGAUACAAGUUGGCAUCAAAUCUAGUGCUUUCAAAGGAAAAUGAACAAAGUUCAAAAAUUAUAGAAAAUGCUAGAAAUACUCCACUACAAGAUAUUUUUCGGUCACUAGAAUGACAGUGAUUUGUAUAAUUUGAUAACUGAAUUUUUUGGAAAAUGCUGCAAUUUAGUGAAUUUUAUUUUUAA